GAUGAACGCUGGCGGCGUGCUUAAUACAUGCAAGUCGAACGGACCGAUUCCGGUAGUUCCCUCUUUGUAAAGGGCAGUGGCGGACGGGUGACUAACGCGUGGCCAAUCUGCCCCUAAGUCCGGGCUUACAGAGCGACUGUUCUGCUAAGACCGGACACUCUUAACCAGCCGCAUGGUGGGUAAAGGAAGGGGAUCGCUUUGGGAUGAGCCCGCGUCCCAUUCGCCAGUUGGUGAGGUAACGGCCCACCACGGCCGCGAUGGAUGGCCGGGCUGAGAGGGUGGACGGCCACGCUGGAGCUGAGACACGGGCCGGACUCCUACGGGAGGCAGCAGGAGGGAAUUUUCGGCAAUGGGGGGAAGCCUGACCGAGCAACGCCGCGUGAGGGAGGAAGGUCUUCGGAUGGUAAACCUUUGUCAACGAGGACGAUAAUGACGGUACUCGAGGAGGAAGCCCCGGCUAACUACGUG
rnacentral:rRNA from 1 species